GUCGGGAAUUUUGGGCAAUGGGGGCAACCCUGACCCAGCAACGCCGCGUGAGGGAUGAAGGCCUUCGGGUCGUAAACCUCUGUCGGGAGGGAAGAAAGGCUUCCGUGAAAAUAUUGCGGAAACUUGACGGUACCUUCAAAGGAAGCGCCGGCUAACUCCGUGCCAGCAGCCGCGGUAAUACGGAGGGCGCAAGCGUUGUUCGGAAUCAUUGGGCGUAAAGAGCGUGUAGGCGGCUUGGUAAGUCGGGUGUGAAAGCCCGGGGCUCAACCCCGGAAUUGCAUUCGAAACUGCCUCGCUAGAGUCCCGGAGAGGAAGGCGGAAUUCUCGGUGUAGAGGUGAAAUUCGUAGAUAUCGAGAGGAACACCAGUGGCGAAGGCGGCCUUCUGGACGGUGACUGACGCUGAGACGCGAAAGCGUGGGGAGCAAACAGG
rnacentral:rRNA from 1 species